GAUGAACGCUAGCGGCAGGCUUAACACAUGCAAGUCGAGGGGCAGCAUGAAGGUUAGCAAUAACUUUUGAUGGCGACCGGCGCAAGGGUGCGUAACGCGUGAGCAACUUGCCCGUUUCAGGGGGAUAACCGGUGGAAACGCCGACUAAUACCCCAUAGUAUAUGGUAUAGAGGCAUCUUUGUACCAAGAAAGGAGUGAUCCGGAUAAGGAUGGGCAUGCGGGACAUUAGGUAGUAGGUGAGGUAACGGCUCACCUAGCCGACGAUGUCUAGGGGUUCUGAGAGGAAGGUCCCCCACACUGGUACUGAGACACGGACCAGACUCCUACGGGAGGCAGCAGUGAGGAAUAUUGGUCAAUGGGGCGAGAGCCUGAACCAGCCAAGUCGCGUGAGGGAAGACGGUACUAAGUAUUGUAAACCUCUUUUGUCAGGGAACAAAGCCUGCAUGUAUGCAAUAAUGAGUGUACCUGAAGAAAAAGCAUCGGCUAAACUCCGUGCCAG
rnacentral:rRNA from 1 species